UUCGCAGUAUAAUACUGCGAAUUAUUAAAAAUUNUGCGAAUUACUAAUUCGCAGUAUUAUACUGCGAA
rnacentral:pre_miRNA from 1 species